CCUACGGGGGGCAGCAGUGAGGAAUAUUGGUCAAUGGACGAGAGUCUGAACCAGCCAAGUAGCGUGAAGGAUGAAUGCCCUAUGGGUUGUAAACUUCUGUUAUAUGGGAAUAAAACGUACCACGUGUGGGAUGUUGUAUGUACCAUAUGAAUAAGGAUCGGCUAACUCCGUGCCAGCAGCCGCGGUAAUACGGAGGAUCCGAGCGUUAUCCGGAUUUAUUGGGUUUAAAGGGAGCGUAGGUGGAUUUUUAAGUCAGUUGUGAAAGUUUGCGGCUCAACCGUAAAAUUGCAGUUGAAACUGGCAGUCUUGAGUACAGUAGAUGUGGGCUGAUUUCGUGGUGUAGCGG
rnacentral:rRNA from 1 species